GGAGCAUCCUUAGCACCAUGCACAAGGACGGAGCCUGCGCGUCCAUGGAAUGGUGCUGGGCAUGGGGGGAAACGGAAAGCCUCCCCAGGAGCUGAUGACAACAGGCUUGCAGGGAGGCAGGGGAGGAGCAAGGAGAGUGGCCCAGCACCCAAGAGAGGGAGAGGUGCUGAGCCAAAUGGCGAAAGCUCCGUGCAAACUCCUCUCCAGGCUGGAGGGCUUCCUGAAGCAGCAGGUCCCAGCAGAGGGGGAACAGCUGCUCCUGCAGUUGCCAACUGCUCCUCCUCCAAGAUCGUGGUCGCAAGAAAGCGCAAGGGAGUGGAAGAGGAGGAGCAGGAGGC